rnacentral:rRNA from 1 species
UACCAGCACCCCGAGUGGUCGGGACGAUUAUUGGGCCUAAAGCAUCCGUAGCCGGUCCUGCAAGUCUUCCGUUAAAUCGAGCUGCUCAACAGAUGGGCUGCGGAGGAUACUACAGGGCUAGGAGGCGGGAGAGGCAAGCGGUACUUUAUGGGUAGGAGUAAAAUCCGUUGAUCCAUAGAAGACCACCAGUGGCGAAGGCGGCUUGCCAGAACGCGCUCGACGGUGAGGGAUGAAAGCUGGGGGAGCAAACCGG